AUUUUAGAGUUUGAUCCAUGGCUCAGGAUGAGCGCUGGCGGCGUGCUUAACACAUGCAAGUCGAACGAUGACCUCCAGCUUGCUGGGGUGAUUAGUGGCGAACGGGUGAGUAACACGUGAGUAACCUGCCCUUAACUCUGGGAUAAGCCUGGGAAACUGGGUCUAAUACCGGAUAUGACUCCUCAUCGCAUGGUGGGGGGUGGAAAGCUUUUUGUGGUUUUGGAUGGACUCGCGGCCUAUCAGCUUGUUGGUGAGGUAAUGGCUCACCAAGGCGACGACGGGUAGCCGGCCUGAGAGGGUGACCGGCCACACUGGGACUGAGACACGGCCCAGACUCCUACGGGAGGCAGCAGUGGGGAAUAUUGCACAAUGGGCGCAAGCCUGAUGCAGCGACGCCGCGUGAGGGAUUUCU
rnacentral:rRNA from 1 species